CAGUAGCCACGGGAAUACGUAGGGUGCAAGCGUUAAUCUGAAUUACUGGGCGUAAAGCGUGCGCAGGCGGUUUUGUAAGACAGAUGUGAAAUCCCCGGGCUCAACCUGGGAACUGCAUUUGUGACUGUAUAGCUAGAGUACGGCAGAGGGGGAUGGAAUUCCGCGUGUAGCAGUGAAAUGCGUAGAUAUGCGGAGGAACACCGAUGGCGAAGGCAAUCCCCUGGGCCUGUACUGACGCUCAUGCACGAAAGCGUGGGGAGCAAACAGGAUUAGAUACCCCUGUAGUCCCUGUUUCUUAUAC
rnacentral:rRNA from 1 species